rnacentral:rRNA from 1 species
GACGAACGCUGGCGGCGUGCUUAACACAUGCAAGUCGAACGGAAAGGCCCUGCUUUUGUGGGGUGCUCGAGUGGCGAACGGGUGAGUAACACGUGAGUAACCUGCCCUUGACUUUGGGAUAACUUCAGGAAACUGGGGCUAAUACCGGAUAGGAGCUCCUGCUGCAUGGUGGGGGUUGGAAAGUUUCGGCGGUUGGGGAUGGACUCGCGGCUGAUCAGCUUGUUGGUGGGGUAGUGGCUUACCAAGGCUGUGACGGGUAGCCGGCCUGAGAGGGUGACCGGCCACAUUGCGACUGAGAUACGGCCCAGACUCGUACGGUGGGCAACAGUGGGAAAUAUUGCACAAUGGGAGGAAGCCUGAUGAAGCAACGCCGCGUGCGGAAUGACGGCCUUCGGGUUGUGAACCGCUUUCGCCUGUGACGAAGCGUGAGUGACGGUAAUGGGUAAAGAAGCACCGGCUAACUACGUG